rnacentral:rRNA from 1 species
GAUGAACGCUGGCGGCGUGCCUAAUACAUGCAAGUCGAGCGAACAGACGAUGAGCUUGCUCCUCUGACGUUAGCGGCGGACGGGCGAGUAACACGUGGAUAACCUACCUCUAAUACUGGGAUAACUUCGGGAAACCGGAGCUACUACCGGCUAAUAUAUUCAACCGCAUGGUUCAAUAGUUAAAGACGGUUUUCCUGUCACUUUUAGAUGGAUCCGCGCCGCAUUAUCUACGUGGUAAGGUAACGGCUUACCAAGGCAACGAUGCGUAGCCGACCUGAGAGGGUGAUCGGGCACACUGGAACUGAGAAACGGUCCAGACUCCUACGGGAGGCAGCAGUAGGGGAUCUUCCGCAAUGGGCGAAAGCUUGACGGAGCAAAGACGCGGGAGGGAUAAAGGUCUUCGGAUCGUAAAACUCUGUUAGUAGGGAAGAAAAAAUGUGUAAGUAACUAUGCACGUCUUGAAGGUAACUAAUAAGAAAGCCACGGCUAACUACGUG